UCCAUUUCACUUUCUUAAAUUUGGCUAGAUAGACAGUUGGCUAAAGUGUUCGAUCGACUUGUCAUCAAUUUGACGUUUGAAAAUAUUGAUACAAUUCUUUAGAUUGGCUCGAAAAAUUUCGAAACUCUAUAUCCAGAUACCAACAAAUAUUUGCAGUGUCGGCCAAUAGCUGCAGGUGUUUAUCUGGAAAUUGAAAAGCGAUCGAUAACAUGUUCUUCAACGAACGACAGACGCCUGAUACAUUUUGACGAUAGAGAGUCCAACUGCGACGGGAACAGCUACAACCACGAAAUUAUCGAAGACAAUAAGGCAAACGAAAUGAAAUUCUUGACAGAACUGGAUUGCUGCACAAACCACGAGCGCUGAUAUGAUACCGAGCCUAAGUGCAUGUGUGUGUGUGAUCCAAAUGCUUCAAAGCGUAUUGCAUUAGCUCAAUCGCUUACAACAACAACACCACACUAUGCAUUUCAAGCCACUGUAAGAAUAAAACUGCAGUCGCUAAGAAUUGCAUCAAUGUUGCUGAUACUCGCAUUACUGCGGUCAACUUGACAAUGGCAAUGGGCAUAGAAAUGAAGUCGUCGAACAAGAGACCCCAUUUUAAUUGAACACUCUUGUUGCUCCUAAAGCAACAAACAUUUUUCAUUACUUAGGCGGAAAAACUAAAUUCAGGUGAAGAAAAAGUGCUCAUAUAUUUGAAUAUGCAUGUGUGAAUGAAGAUUUGUAAGUGUUGGGAUCUUACAGUGGCUGUGACAAAUAUCAGAGCGUAAAUAAAAUUAAUGAUUUCAGCAAAAGAAAGAUUUGUAUAUAUGUGUGUUGGUCCAGGGAUAAAAGAAGGUUGGAAUACUAAUUUACAAAUUGCAAUUAAAAUGAAGUUUAAAUUAAAAGCUGCAUUGCAAUUAAGCUGUAACCAAUUUUCGGAAAAUUUAGCCAAUGAACUCUGCUUUCAAAAUUGGGAUUUACAUAUAAUAUAUUUAUUCUGUUACAUUAGGUUGGAACUUGAAUUAAGAUAAAAUGUAUAUUGCACUUCCAGAUCUUCAAUAAAUUUAUUAAUACUACUA